AAUAUUAACUAUGUUAAAUAAAGUUCUAGAUAUAAUUAUGAUAAUGACAUUUUAUAUUUAUAAGUCUUGACUAAGUCACGUGCCAGCAGUCGCGGUAAUACGUGGAAGACAAGUGUUAUUCAUCUUAAAUUGGUUUAAAGGGUACGUAGNCAGCUAUUAAAGCCUAUAAAGAUAGGGACUAAUUAAGCUAGAGUUUAAUGUGAGAAUAUCUGAGAAAUGUGUAUAGGGUCUAAUCAAUCUAACGCUAUUUUCUCUUCUUUUCUUUUCUAAAAAAAAAAGAAGAGAAAAGAAAAGAGAAAAAAAGGGAUGGAGUGCAGUACGAUGAGCGUAGAGAUGAAAUUCUUUGAGGCGAAAGCGGCAUUUUAUGUAUAAACUGACGUUAAGGGACGAAGGCUCGAUUAAGUAACAGGAUUAGAUACCCUAGUAUUGUGUGCAGACAACGAUGAAUGUCAUAUAUAAGAAUAAAUAUUUUAUGUAUAAAUGAAAGUGUAAGCAUUCCACCUCAAGAGUAAUAUGGCAACAUAUAAACUGAAAUCAUUAGACCGUUUCUGAAACCAGUAGUGAAGUAUGUUGUUUAAUUUGAUGGCCCACGGAAAACCUUACCACAAUUUGUAUAUUUAUUAUUUCAUAUAAUAAAUACAAGCGUUGCACGGCUGUCUUCAGUUAAUGUCGUGAGAUUUUGGUUAGCUCCAUUAAAUUAACGUAAACCCUUGCUAUAUUUUCUAAUAUAUAGUAGUUCGCCGUUAUAUUGGUUGUGAUAUAAGGGACCAGGACAAGUCAUCAUGACCUAAAUAUUGUGGGC
rnacentral:rRNA from 1 species